AAAUAGGCUUCAAAGCUAGUGACAGCGAGAGCGAGGAAUUCACGUUCCCUGAACGAAGCACUGCUAUUUGCGCUCAUAAAUGCGAGUGUGGGCGUAGACCGUAAAAAAUAUGUUGACAGUGCCACUAUGUCGACAGGGCUAGUACGCUGCUCGGUUGUCCCAUGUAUUUACCAUGGCUCAUAAAACCAUCGAAUUAGUCCGGGAAGCUAAAUAAAAAUUAGGUGAGUCUAAGAGUCGCGCGUAGAAAUUCUCUCGCGUCUCUCUCUCUCUCUCUCUUUCUGUCUUUCUCUCGUGAUGCUGAUAUUACCACCUCUAAAAUUGCACCUCUGCAUCGCUCUCACUCUCUCUGUCUCUCUUUUUCUCUCUCUCAAUCAACGUAGGUGUACAUCGCAAUUAUCAGCUGAUCGGUAAUCCUGUUGAAGUGCGUAUUAAAACUCGCUCGAAAACGGAAGUCUUUGUUCGCGAAUCAAUAUGAAACCAUGUUUCCAAAUUCACAGUGUCUGUCGGUUCUUUCACAGCGGGAUUACCCGACGGGACUUAAAUAGCUAACUGUGGACGCGAUUAUUGAUUGCAAACUGCAUCGACCCUCCUUUCACCCUCACCAACAGUGCCGAGCAAUGGACGGUGCCGUUGGCCUACUUUGAACAAAUGCGCACAAACGCGUCAUAGCGGUUUGUAGUUGCGACUGCAAUCCGCCUCACAAUUUACUUGGCCGACGGAAAAAUCCGCUUCGCUUGUGUUGACACAGCGCGCGCGGAAUCGCCGUUGCAGUCAUGUGUAAUAGCUAAUAUCUAUUUUCAUUGAUUUUCACCGCGCGCGCGUAACGCGAGGCCCUAUCGCGAAAUUGUGAUCUGAAAUUUUCACACGCGUAUGGUUAUCCCGUGUCGGCCGACACGGAGCGGACAUAGGCCAAGGCAAGCGAGCCGAUUCCAAUUUGUGGUAGAUCGCGGGCAUACGAUAAGUUUUCCAUUAUCCCGCGGUACUGAGAAUUCGCGCACGGUGAACUGCCGUCGCCCGGGACUGACGUGCUCGACUGCAUCGCGUUUCUCAAGUUUCACGUAAAAGGCCGUCUUCAUCCCGCUUGUCCGAGUGCGCGGCUCGAGUUACCCGGGCUUCGAUCGUCGGACAUCGCCAUUUGAAUACCGAAGCGUCAUUAAACGAGAUAACGAGAGAGAGAGACCUGCCCAUCUCGUCCGUGCGCUCUCGCGUGUGCGUGCGGAACCAACGCGGAAAGCCUUAUUCGCAUCGCGUCGCGUUCUGCUCGAUUUGCACGCGCGCAUAAAUCUCAUUUGGGACGACGAACGCGCAACAACGGCAUAAUGUGAAAUCCGAUUCGUUUCUAUGAUCAUCGGCGCUCGGGUAAAUCGAGCGCAGACGUUCGAACGUGACGACAUCUCGAAAAACGUACGAAAUCUCGUCACGCCUGUCGACUCUUCAAGAUGUUCCUCAGGACAGCGUGGGAAAGAGGCGAGAAGGGCGCAGGGACAUCGGGGCGCGCCUCCGCUCCUGCGACUCACGAGAGAGAGAGGGGAGGGGUGGAGAAAGAGAAAAUGAGACACAGAGAGAGAGAGAGAGAGAGAGAGAGAGAGAGAGAGAAAGAUCUGCCGAGACGCGAGAUCGAUUUAUUGCUCGUUGCAGCACGGCCGGCACUCUCCGGUGAAAUGUCGUCGCGAGCGGAGAGCUGCGCACGCGAAAGACGAGUAAAAAUACCGUUUGCCCAAACGCGGCGAUUAUUUAGCCGACGUGGUGAACUGAACGUCAGAUCGUGAGAUAAGUCUGGCUAUUAUUUUCGAUGCCCUUUCAUUUCUUAAAAGACUCUCUCGCUGUAAUAAUCAGUACAAUGCGCGACCGUACUGAAUAUUAACUGCGCUAAUUAGUCAAGGUUAAAUUGCUCAGCGAGGGAUGAUCAGCGAGGAAGUAACGGAAUAUCACCGAGGACUCCUAGCUUCGCACGUGUUUGGUAGGAAUGCCAGACGAGCUGAAAUUCGAGAGACAAUGGCUGGUAUGUUCCGUACCACUGAGAAUAAAAACGGCGGAAAUGAAACUCUGAAUAUCUGCGCGAAGCACGCACCGCGCGGAUCCUUAAUUUCUCUUAAAGGCAAUUAUCCAUUUCCGACCGUCUCACUCGCCCGGUAACUAAUAGGUCAUCAUUAUAGCGGCACUUGAUGUCUCUAUUAUUCCGAACCGUACGUUUACAUCUAUGUAUGUGCGAAAAAGAGCGACCUGCUACUGAUGUACCGUCACACUGUAAUCGUUCCGCGGGUCAAUAAGUCGCUUUUUAUGCGAACGGUGAUUUGUAAUCGCAGCUCGCUUGUAUUCGUUGCGUCUCAGAAUCUGGUUAAUCGUGCUUUUAACCGACCGGCUCACAUGUGUUUGCUUUCUACCAAGAUUACUAACAUGAUUGAGGAAUGAGAGAAAUCGUCAAUAGUUUUAAUAAAUUCUAAAUUGAAAAAUUUGAAACGUCUACACAUGAAUAAUGCAAUUACAUUAAAAAAUGUCACACAUUUAAUACGAUUUAAGAAAUAAACUACAAUUUUAUAUAUAUCGUUUUUACAAUUUUAGAUUUAACGAAUAAAUAAAAUAAAAUUCUCGGUAGUGCAAUAUUUAUGUAAAAGCUAUAUCUGCAAUACAAAGCUAUAUGUAGAGUAAA